rnacentral:lncRNA from 1 species
AAAUACGUCCACCGGCCAAAAAAUUACCAAAACGAUUUUGAAAACGAUAUGUUUGAUUUGCAGGCGAGGAAGCGGCGAACCCAAGCCUGCCGACCCCGGAGAUGUCUCCGAUGGAGCAGGAGAAGGACUUCAACAACCACAACCACCAGAUGGAGGACAGCAAGCGGGUCUACCAAUACCCGGUCCCGGUGCCCGUCUCGAGCGCGGCCGACACGGCCAGCUACUACUCGCACCGGCUCCCGCAGGCCCCGCAGGGCCCGUACCGGGCCCAUAACCUCAGCUACGGCUCGGGCUACCCCGCGGGCCCCCCGGGGCACAGCCCCAUAGCCAUAGGCGUCAACAAGGAAGGGAUGGUCAUGAUGUGCUCGAAGGCGGGGAGCUUAGGGGGAGCUUACGAUCAUAGCGGGAUGGUUACCGGGACUUUCUUUCCUCCGAUCGCUACCUCACAGGACCAGCAGGUCCUCGGCGGGUCUUCCUCGCAUCAUAUGUACACGGCCGCCUCCUCGCAUUCCUCCCGGUCCUUCCUGCCCAGCUACCCGUCCGCCGGUCUCGGAGGCAGGUCCCCGGUCGCCGGAUCUCAGUACGCCACCUGCAGCAGUCCCGGCUCGUCCGCCGCUAGGACGCCCUUGGAAAAUUAUUCAGGUCUGAACAGCCAGCGCUCGAUGCCGCGCGAGUACCAGGAACCGAUGAGCGGCAACGACAUGAGCUUGGGCCUCUACAUGGAGUCGCCCCAGUCGGGCGGAGCCGCCCCCGGGGCGCCGCCCUCGGAAGGGAUGAUGGGCAACGAGAUGGGUCGGCAGGAGCCCGGGGGCCCUCCGCCCGGCGAGGACUCCAACGCCGAGCUGGACAAGUUCCUCAAGUACUCCUCGCAGCAUCCGGGGAUGUCGUCCGGCCUGGAGCUGGCCGAGCAGCAGAUGAUGGAUACGAACCACAACUACCACCUCCAGCCGCCGCCGCACAACUACUACCAGUCCUACCAGCCGCACGUCGAGCUCCCCGGGGCCCAGCACGGCGCCUUCUUCAUCCCCAAGCAGGAGCUCCCCAACCAGCAGUACCUCCUCACCGAUCAGCACUACACCCACCUCGCCGCCGAGCAGCCCCUCGCCCAGCCGCCGGGCCCCGGGCAGACCCUCAAGGCCGGGCCCGGGGAGGAAUUCAGCGCCAUCUUCGCUGACGUCCGCAAGACCUGCUACAGCAGCUGAAACCCAGUCCCCGCGUCUUGUUGCUGAGCUCAGUCGCUGGAGAAAAAGGUCGCUUGGAUAUAGAGUCCAGACUCAGGGUAGCACGAAACGUAAGAAAGAAAUGAAAGAUUGGAAAUUUCAGUGAAGUAUUUCAUGGAAUUUCACGAGGCUGUGAAAUACAUAUUUCAUAUUUUUCAGGUUCUAGAGUAUGCAACCCGCACUCAAACACCCAAAACUAGAGGAAAAUCACAUUUUUACAUUUUGCGAAAUAUGAAGAGGAACUUGUAUUUUUCAAUAUCUUUCAUACAUUUCUGAAAUUUAAUGAAAUAUUUCACGUGAAAUUUUAAGAUUUUAUUUUUCAUGAAAUUUUGCCACCUUGUCCAGACUCUUACUAGCAUUUGUAUGGAAAAAUACUCUUGAUUCAAUCCGACUUUUUCUUGAAUCGAAAAGUCGCUCUUCAUUCAGGCGGAUUUCUUUUUGACUCAAGCAAAAAGGCUGAUUGAAUCAAGAGUAUUUUUUCUUGUCAAUGUUUUUAAGAGUCUAGACUCUAGAUCUAAGCGACUUUUUUUUUCCAGUGUAGACUUUUUACACGUCCAGCGGGUUGAUUUUUUGGAAUUGGUGGACAAAGCGAUAGGCAAAGAAGACAAAAGGGUAUGGAGGUAUCCUAUAUUGCCGUGCCAAGGAAAAACGCCGUCUGGACCUUUAAACAUUGCAAAAUUUCUUCUGGCAAAUCACGAAUUUUUGGGAAGUAGAUAUUUUGCUUCCACUUUUCCAGAUAUUUUUGUUCGCAAUUUUGCCUAAUUUUCCUUCAAAUUUAUUAGGAAAAUAAUCAUAACUUCCCUCACAAAUAAACAUUUUAUCGAAGGCAACUUGGCAACUCUGGAAUGUGCAUUUGGCGUUUUGCCUUAGCACGGCGGUAUUGGCGGGAGGGGGUGGCAGCAAUGGACAAAGGAUGUAGGCAAUAGACUAACUAACGAGCGACUCCAUAGUUAGUCCAUCAUUUUCCUUCUUAGUCUAUUAGGACCACCUAUUUCAACCAAUAGGAUCGCUCCAUACUCCUUAUGUCUUUUUUGUCUAUCGCUUUGUCUAUCAAUUUUAUAAAUUAGCCCGCUAGGGCCUGAUUUUUGAAAUCAGGGGUCUCUGAAAACAAGGUUGUUGUUAAUUAGUCUAAUUCUUAUACUUCCUUUGUCCAUCACAACUACCCGCCCCCAUCAAUGAGAUCGCUCUAUUUUCCUUUGUCUACCUUGUCUAUCUCUUUUUCUAUCAAUUUUAAUAAUUAGUCAGCUCGGAUCCAACCUUUAUGAAAGGUUGAAAAGUAGAUUUUUCGUAGAUAAUCAUCACACAGAAAAUACAGAUGGUGGCUCUAGCAGAAAGAUGUACUAUUUUACGUCAUAAUUUCAAUGUAAACUAAUUGACAUAAAAAAUGGGCCACUAGGGCUGCCAAAACAAACAAACAGAAAGCCUGGGUCGUUUUGUGGUGGUUUCAUACCUUCUCUUUGACCAGGAAACAAAAAUAUAGUCUACAACAAAAAAUACAGUCUUCAAUGUAAACUAACUGCCCCGGUUCAGAGGUUAAACCGUGUUAAACGUCCGUCGGCGUCCUUCAUCCAAAAGGUGAAAUUAAAGUCUCAGCAAUGAACGUUCAAUUAUAUUAAUUUCAAUGUUAGAUCUACAAUGGUGAUGUAGCUUAUUACACAGUUUGUUAUGCAUAACACAGUGUUCAUCAUGAAAUGUACAUUCUUUUUUGAACCGCUCACGAAUCCGUGUGCUUUUCUACGGCGCACAGUGGAUCGAGUCAAUGGGAGAGGUCGGUCAUGAAAUUUUUUAUUAAAACUGCAAAUGUUGAUGUUCAUUUCGUCAUAUUUUACAUUUCAAGGGGCGCUUAGUGAAGGAAAUUUCACGAGAAAACCAAUGAAACCACUUUUAGAAUCGCAAAUUUUCGUAUUAACGGAAUUAUAAGCGUUUAAAGUUUCCACAUUUUGGCUGACCUCUCCCAUUGACACUAUUCAGUGUGCGCCAUCGCCAAUCUUCAAGACGAUGGCUGCCUUGCCACCAGCCUUUGUAUUUUCUCUAAGGAUGGUCAUAUGAUCUUAUUCAUAGCUGCCGUUUCCAGAACAGUUCUUUGUCUGAGGAGAACCCAUUUUAUUUACAUUGCGAUUAAGGGAGGCUUGAGGAACGCGGUAUCAUAAGAAUGACAAUUUUCAUCAACUUGGAGUAAAAUUCAGCGGUAUAUCUGCUCGCAGAAAGAAGUGCCUUCAAAAAUGGAUGUAGGCAAUUUUAUAGCACGCUCUGUUCAUAAAAUUGCCGACAUCAGUGAGCUUUUAGAGAGCUCUUCCCGUAACUAGCUUGAUCUUAACUUAGCUCCAAUUUUGCUCCCAGCUAAUGCAGCUAUAAAAGCCAUUUCAUUUUUAGCUGUGAUAAGUAUAAAAUAAUACUGUCUUCCAGUUAAGCGCUGAAAUAGACUUCAUUUUCAGUUCAAUUGUUGCUGUCUUAAUAUGCGUCUUAAAUUAAAGUGCAUAGUAUAUCUUUAAAAGUGAGUAAUUUGGUCCAUUUGUUCUAUCAUAUCGAUUCACAUCUAUUUAUAAUCUUAAUAACCCUCAGAAGAAAUAGUAUAGGAAACGAUACAAACGAUACAGUGGGCGAAAGUAAGUUCUUUCUUCUUUUACUUUUUUAUAAACUUGAUAAGACAUUCAAAUCCCUCGAAAAAUCAUUCAAAAUAUUAAUUAUAUUAUUCACUUUUGAUCAAUGUAUCAUCAAACUGGCGAUUGAAGUUUUAUAUUCGUGAGAUAUCUGUCCCUGCAUAAACAAAAUCUAAAGUUGAUCAUUUUAAAAUCGAUGUAGAUUGCAUUUGAUUUUUCAGCAUGUCAGUAUCAAUUUAUAAGCACUGAGAAGCGCAAGCAGUAAAAAACAACUCUGAAAAGCGCAGUAUGUAAAAGGCAGGGACGAGGGGAUGAUUAUCGAUAUUUCCUCAUUUGAAGCUAUGGAUAAGAAUCGAUUAUUGUAAAGGUGUUCGUUGCAAACGCCCUCUUUAUGAUCCUUUUCCAUAGGUUUAAAUGGCAGUUUAUAGUCGAUUGAUCGCAAAGCACGCCAUGCCACUUGUAAAAGGUCUAUUUCAUUGUGAGAAUCAAUCUAAAGAGAGAAGUCUGAUCAUGACUUUAAAACGUAAAGCAAUCUGAAGAAACAUUGUGUGAUAAUUAGGCUUAAGAUCUACUUAACUUCGAAAUUAUUUAAUAGGAAUUUUUAAAUAAAUAUUUUUUUUAAAGAUGACAACAAAUAUAUUUUUGCAGAGAUGAAAUCUUUGUUCCAGCAGUCUCCUCCUCGUGUGAAAAUUUUGUAGAAAAAAUAAUCUGUACAUAUAAAUAGUAAAAAUUUGUAAAUUAGUAAAAUUAAUUGUUAUGAAAUUGCUAGUUAAAAAAUUAUGUUCAUUCCCUCUUCUCAUCUAUUCGUGUGACGAUUUUUGUUUGUGAAAGUAUUGUAUUUUAAUAAUCAUGUAGUAAAUACACAAUUUUUCUUCCACUAGUUUUGGCGUCUUUCCAAU